AAAAAAUUAGUUAAAGGUAUAUAACAUUAGUUUGUCAAACUAAAAUUAUCAACUUAUUGAUAUUUUUUA
rnacentral:tRNA from 2 species